GGAUCUUUGGUGAAUUUCUGAAGUGCAUCUUGUAGAUAGUACACGCUGCUGUUACUGAGCAUCGGUGGUGGAGGGAGUGAGUGUUGAAAAUGAGGGGAGUGGAUGUUCUCACCUUAAUUCCUUUCAAAGCUAGGUGUAUUUCAUUAGGAGAACUUCUGAUAUUAUGGAUGGAAUCUCGUGAAGCUCCCAGGAGUUUGAAGUGAGGCAAGCAAGGCACUUAUUUGACCAGGAGUUCAAAAGUCAGCUUCCCAACAAUGGGAUGUAAACAGGGUGACAGCGUUUACAAGGAUCCAGAUGGACAGGGAAUGGCAGCAGAGAAAGUAGGAACUGCAGAUGCUGGAGAAUCUGAGAUAACAAGGUGUAGAGCUGGAUGAACACAGCAGGCCAAGCAGCAUCAGAGGAGCAGGAAGGCCGACGCUUCAGGCCUAGACCCUUCUUCAGAAAUCAGGGAAUGGCAGCAGUUUACAAAUCCCUCACCAACAGUGAGAACAAUUGUCCUGGUUGCAACACGAACAUUGAGUACCUUUUAAACACGGCUCCCUAACCUUCAGCCUUCUGAGGUAACAGACUUCCUAUCCUUCCUACCAUGUGAUUGGCUGUGUUCCUCAAAUUUGGAGCUGAUUGCUGGGAUAUUGUAUAUUUCCAGCUGUGUCAUCAAUAAUCUCACCAUUCUCGUAAUAUUCUUCCCUGUUGACCGAGCUUCCAUUAGUCAAUGGGCAAGCCCUGUAUUCACCCACCAGAAAAGCAAAACACAACUUGGAGGCACAGUACAUUGCUGAAUAUUCUGUAAUGCUGUGUGAGUCACUAUGGACCCUGCCUAUCAGAAUUAUCCCUAAGGGUGUGUCCUAAUAGAAUACACAGAAUGGUCAAUCAUUACUUCACUCUCCAAUCUGUGCUGAGGCAACCAUCUCAGUUACAUCGAUAGAAAUGGGGAUCCAUCAUGAGGUUCGGUCACUCUCGGGGUUGGUUCAGACUUGGGAUUUGGUCACUUGGUUUGGUCAGUCUCGGAGUUCAGUCAGGCUUCAUGAGACCAUGACAGUAGGCCAUUCAGCCCAUUGAGUCUACUCUGCCAUUCAAUAUAUCAUGGCUAAUCUGAUAAUCAACUCCCCAUAUUCUGCCUAGUGCCCAUAACUCUUGAUUCUCUUACUGAUUAAAAAUCUACCAGGGUUCAGUAUUGGGGUUCGGUCAGUCUCAGAACGUAAGAACUAGGAAGUAGACCCUAAGGUCUUUCAAGCCACCCCCCCUCCAUCAUUUGUACCAUCGUGUCUGAUCUUCAGCUACACCUCCACCUUGCGUAUGUUUCCCAGAUCCUUGAUUCCCUAAGAGAUUGUUUGUCUCAACCUUAAAUAUAGUCAACAAUGGAGCACCUGCACCCCUCUGGGAUAGAGAAUUCCAAAGAUUCACAAUUGUUUGUGAGGAAACCCCCUGAUUUCAGUUCUAAAUGAUCUUGUUAAUUAGAAAAUGCCUCAUUUAUCUUGGUUUCCUCAUUAUCUUAUUAAAAAAAAAACUCAAACUUGA